rnacentral:rRNA from 1 species
UACGAAGGGGGCUAGCGUUGCUCGGAAUCACUGGGCGUAAAAGCGCACGUAGGCGGAUUGUUAAGUCAGGGGUGAAAUCCUGGAGCUCAACUCCAGAACUGCCUUUGAUACUGGCGAUCUCGAGUCCGGGAGAGGUGAGUGGAACUGCGAGUGUAGAGGUGAAAUUCGUAGAUAUUCGCAAGAACACCAGUGGCGAAGGCGGCUCACCUGGCCCGGUACGUCGACUG